GGCCAGUGUGGUGUAGUGGUUUGAGUAAUGGACUACGACUCUGGAGACCAGGGUUCAAAUCCAGGCUUGGCCA
rnacentral:tRNA from 1 species